UCGAUGAAGAACGCAGCGAAAUGCGAUAAGUAAUGUGAAUUGCAGAAUUCAGUGAAUCAUCGAAUCUUUGAACGCACAUUGCGCCCCGUGGUAUUCCGCGGGGCAUGCCUGUUCGAGCGUCAUUUAGACCAAUCAAGCCUCGGCUUGGUCUUGGGGUUUGCGGUUCCGCAGCCUCUAAACGCAGUGGCGGUGCUAUUGAGCUCUGAGCGUAGUAAGUCUCCUCGCUAUAGAGUCUCGGUAGUUGCUUGCCAACAACCCCAACUUAUUAAGGUUGACCUCGGAUCAGGUAGGGAUACCCGCUGAACUUAA
rnacentral:rRNA from 1 species